UGUGUCUCUGUUAAAACGCAGGGGUAAUUCUCAGUGAAUACUGCAGGAACCAGCAAGCAGCAGCUCACGUAUUUCAGUUCUGAGCACUGCAGAAUGCCUCCACUUCCCAAACUGUGUAAAACCUCUAUCUGUGUAAACCUCUGUCUGAAUCUGCAUGGACACAUGGACAUGGGAACAAAAACUGAGAACCAUUGGCAUCUUUAUAGGAGCUGCAGCACAGCUCUAAAUUCCUACAAAGUGGGCAAACAAAUGUACAGCCCGGGGGAAAAAAAACCUUGGCAAAACCGUGAUUUGAGAAGAGACAUAAGGAUUAUCUUGAGAACUUUCCUUGUGCCC